rnacentral:lncRNA from 1 species
AGAGAGCUCGGUGGGGAAAAGAAGAACAGAGCAAUCCUUUGUUUUUGGGAAAGAAAAGAGUAAAAAAAUAUUUUAUGUUCUAACGGGAGGAAGAGGCUUUUUGUUUUAUUUUUUUAUGUUAUUUGCAAAAGAGAAGAAACAUUAGGUUUCCAAUCUCCACUUUUAUUUGUAAUGAAUUUUCUUUUAAGCAAAUCUAUCAUUUCUCUUUCAUGCAAUCCUUGUUCUAGGUUUAGUUAAAUUUCUGUUUUCUUUAUGCAAUCAUUUAAUUUUUCUUUUUAUGCAAUACAUUUAAUUUU